rnacentral:tRNA from 1 species
GCGGGGGUGCGCGGCGUUUCGGCGUUUACGUCGGGGUGGCCGCGUGAAGCUGACAGCUCAGGCUGAAACUGAUCGCUCCGGUCCCAGUGCGGGUUCGAGUCCCGCUCCCCGCACCA